rnacentral:rRNA from 1 species
CCUGGUGGCAGCACUUAACUGAACCUGGCAGAUUUUGAAAAAACUAAACAGAAUCAGAUUUGGUUUGUAUUAGGAUAGGAGACUACUAGGAAAUUCCAAGGUUGUAAGCU